CAGCAGCCGCGGGAAUACCGAGGGUGCGAGCGUUAAUCGGAUUUACUGGGCGUAAAGCGUGCGUAGGCGGCUUCUUAAGUCGGAUGUGAAAUCCCUGAGCUUAACUUAGGAAUUGCAUUCGAUACUGGGAAGCUAGAGUAUGGGAGAGGAUGGUAGAAUUCCAGGUGUAGCGGUGAAAUGCGUAGAGAUCUGUAGGAAUACCGAUGGCGAAGGCAGCCAUCUGGCCUAAUACUGACGCUGAGGUACGAAAGCAUGGGGAGCAAACAGGAUUAGAUACCCCCGUAGUCCCUGUCUCUUAUAC
rnacentral:rRNA from 1 species